GAUGAACGCUGGCGGCGUGCCUAAUACAUGCAAGUAGAACGCUGAAGGAGGAGCUUGCUCUUCUGGAUGAGUUGCGAACGGGUGAGUAACGCGUAGGUAACCUGCCUGGUAGCGGGGGAUAACUAUUGGAAACGAUAGCUAAUACCGCAUGACAACAGUUAUUGCAUGAUAACUGUUUAAAAGGGGCAACUGCUCCACUACCAGAUGGACCUGCGUUGUAUUAGCUAGUUGGUGAGGUAACGGCUCACCAAGGCGACGAUACAUAGCCGACCUGAGAGGGUGAUCGGCCACACUGGGACUGAGACACGGCCCAGACUCCUACGGGAGGCAGCAGUAGGGAAUCUUCGGCAAUGGACGGAAGUCUGACCGAGCAACGUCGCGUGAGUGAAGAAGGGUUUCGGAUCGUAAAGCUCUGUUGAAAGAGAAGAACGAGUGUGAGAGUGGAAAGUUCACACUGUGACGGUAUCUUACCAGAAAGGGACGGCUAACUACGUG
rnacentral:rRNA from 1 species